CAGAUUUUUUCCUCCAGCUUCUCGUUCCCGUUCCCCACUGCACCCGGCGACGAGCAAAACCAAAAUCCCCCACGAAUCCCUGGUUUGCAGGCGAGCGUGGCCGGCGAGAGAGCGGCGACGAGUCAAUUGAUGGAGAAAGGCGGCGCCCACGAAGGAUCCCGCCGGCAGUUCGACGGGUGAGGGCGGCGCGCGCGUGCCGGAGAAGUAGGAGAAGGAAGAAGCGACGGGGAAGGAGAAGAAGGAAGCGACGAAGCGGUUCUACGCGAGGCGGCGGACGACCGGAGACGGCGGGAUCCUGCUGAUUUGAGCCCCAAGGCAAAUCAAAGGUGAGAAACUAAGGAGGGAAGGCAUCUUUUUUCCGUAUCCUGGACUGGCAAUUUUAAGAUGGAGGACUACCCAAAUCAACACGACGGUGAGAAGCAAGGUGCAAGACAGUAGGCAAGAUACAAUUCAAGAACCAACAACUUAAUAUAGCAUCCAGUUCUACGGGAGGCAAGAACAGGGGACCAGAAUUCGUGCAAGAUCCAAGUCAGGCUUUUGCAACAAUUCUGUACAGGAGGCAAAUUUGCAACUACUAGAACACAG